rnacentral:rRNA from 1 species
GACGAACGCUGGCGGCGUGCUUAACACAUGCAAGUCGAACGGAAAGUCCCUGAUUUGGUGGGGGUCUCGAGUGGCGAACGGGUGAGUAACACGUGAGUAACCUGCCCUGGACUAUGGGAUAACUUCAGGAAACUGGGGCUAAUACCGGGUAGGAGCUCGUGCUGCAGGGUGGGGGGUGGAAAGUUUCGGCGGUUGGGGAGGGACUCGCGGCGUAUCAGCUUGUUGGUGAGGUAGUGGCGUACGAAGGCUUUGAUGGGUAGCCGGACUGGGAGGGUGACCGGCCACAUUGGGCCUCGGGUACGGCCCAGACGCCUACGGGAGGCAGCGGUGGGGAAUAUUGCACAAUGGGCGGAAGCCUGAUGCAGCAACGCCGCGUUCGGGAUGACGGCCUUCGGGUUGUAACCCGCUUUUGCCUGUUACGAAGCGUGAGUGACGGUAAUGGGUAAAGAAGCACCGGCUAACUACGUG